rnacentral:rRNA from 1 species
GACGAACGCUGGCGGCGAGCUUAACACAUGCAAGUCGAACGGAAAGGCCCUGCUUGCAGGGUACUCGAGUGGCGAACGGGUGAGUAACACGUGGGUGAUCUGCCCUGCACUUCGGGAUAAGCCUGGGAAACUGGGUCUAAUACCGGAUAGGAGCCAUUUUUAGUGUGAUGGUUGGAAAGUUUUUUCGGUGUAGGAUGAGCUCGCGGCCUAUCAGCUUGUUGGUGGGGUAAUGGCCUACCAAGGCGGCGACGGGUAGCCGGCCUGAGAGGGUGGACGGCCACAUUGGGACUGAGAUACGGCCCAGACUCCUACGGGAGGCAGCAGUGGGGAAUAUUGCACUAUGGGCGCAAGCCUGAUGCAGCGACGCCGCGUGGGGGAUGACGGCCUUCGGGUUGUAAACUCCUUUCGCUAGGGACGAAGCUUUUUGUGACGGUACCUAGAUAAGAAGCACCGGCUAACUACGUG